GCUGUUAUAGCUCAGUUGGUAGAGCACAUCCUUGGUAAGGAUGAGGUCACCGGUUCAAAUCCGGUUAACAGCU
rnacentral:tRNA from 1 species